rnacentral:rRNA from 1 species
AUUGAACGCUGGCGGCAGGCCUAACACAUGCAAGUCGAACGGUAACAGGAAGACGCUUGCUUCUUUGCUGACGAGUGGCGGACGGGUGAGUAAUGUCUGGGAAACUGCCUGAUGGAAGGGGAUAACUACUGGAAACGGUAGCUAAUACCGCAUAACGUCGCAAGACCAAAGAGGGGGACCUUCGGGCCUCUUGCCAUCGGAUGUGCCCAGAUGGGAUUAGCUAGUAGGUGGGGUAACGGCUCACCUAGGCGACGAUCCCUAGCUGGUCUGAGAGGAUGACCAGCCACACUGGAACUGAGACACGGUCCAGACUCCUACGGGAGGCAGCAGUGGGGAAUAUUGCACAAUGGGCGCAAGCCUGAUGCAGCCAUGCCGCGUGUAUGAAGAAGGCCUUCGGGUUGUAAAGUACUUUCAGCGGGGAGGAAGGGAGUAAAGUUAAUACCUUGACUCAUUGACGUUACCCGCAGAAGAAGCACCGGCUAACUCCGUG